CGUGUGUAGGCGGACCGUUAAGUGCUUUGUGAAAUCCCACGGCUCAACCGUGGAAUGGCUUGGCAUACUGGCGGUCUUGAGCCACUCAGGGGCAACUGGAACUAACGGUGGAGCGGUGAAAUGCGUAGAUAUCGUUAGGAACGCCGAAGGUGAAAACAGGUUGCUGGGGGUGUGCUGACGCUGAGACACGAAAGCCAGGGGAGCAAACGGGAUUAGAUACCCCGGUAGUCCUGGCCCUAAACGAUGUCCACUAGAUCGCGGUGCCUCUGACGGUGUCGCGGUCGAAGCAAAAGUGCUAAGUGGACCGCCUGGGAAGUACGGUCGCAAGGCUAAACUCAAAGGAAUUGACGGGGGCUCACACAAGCGGUGGAGCAUGUGGUUCAAUUCGAAGCAACGCGAAGAACCUUACCUGGGCUUGACAUGCCUGGAUUACCCCAUGAAAGUGGGGUAGCCUUCGGGACAACAGGCACAGGUGCUGCAUGGCUGUCGUCAGCUCGUGUCGUGAGAUGUCGGGUUAAGUCCCAUAACGAGCGAAACCUUUGCCCUUAGUUGCCAGCGGGUUAGCCGGGUACUCUAAGGGGACUGCCGGUGUCAAACCGGAGGAAGGUGGAGAUGACGUCAAGUCCUCAUGGCCUUUAUGCCCAGGGCCACACACGUGCUACAAUGGGGUGCACAAAGCGAACCGAAAGCGCGAGCUCCAGGAAAUCGCAGAAAUCACCCCCCAGUUCAGAUCGGAGGCUGCAACUCGCCUCCGUGAAGUU
rnacentral:rRNA from 1 species